GGGAAGGUGGCUCAGUGGUAGAGUGCUUGCCUCACAUGCAAGAGGCCCUGGAUUCUAUUCCU
rnacentral:tRNA from 1 species